rnacentral:lncRNA from 1 species
GAUCCACAGGUGGUUUAGCUAGAUGUUCUGGCCCAAGGUCUCAUGAAUUUGCAGUCAAGAUGUUGGCUGGGCUGUAGUCUGAAAGUUUGACUGGUGUUAGAGGAUCCACUUCCUAGAGGGCUCAUUCGUAGAGCUGCCUGUGUUUUCUCACAACAUGGCAACUGGCUUUCUCUAGAACAGGUGAUCCAAGAGAGAGACAGAAACCAUGAUCAUUCAGAGUGAUGUAACAUUACUUCUACUAUAUAAUGUUAGUCACACAGACAUUUCCCUGACAAUAUGUGGGAGGAGAUUACACAAGAGCAUGAAUACUGGGAAGCUAGCUGUCACAAUUUGGCCCCAAUGAUUGAUAGUUCUUGAUUUGCAAAAUAUAUUCAUCCCCUCCAAAAGCUCUCCAAAGCUCUCAUCCUAUGACACCAUUAGUUCAAGGUCUAGAAAUCUAAAUCAGUUCCAAUUGUGGAUGACACUCAUAGGUGUACUUAAGUACAGCUCCUCAAGAAGAGUUCUUUUUGAUCUGAAGACUCAUACACUAAAGACACAGUCUCUGCUUCCACAUGUAAUAGAAAAUGAAUAGGAUAAUAAAUGUGGACAUGUAUAUUUAAAAAGAGGGAAUAUUGGAGGUACAUAGGUUCACAGAAAUUCUGAAACCCACCUGGGCACAGAUUGGCAGUUGCUUGGUCAAGUUUCAAGGCCUAGAAUUCUCUUAGCUCUGCCUUCUGGGAUCUUGGAUCUACUCACUGAGUCACCCUUUCUUUUUCUUGUUUACACUUCUGCCUGCUUUCUGCCUAUAGAAGCUUGGAUGUCCCACAAGCUUCUUUCCAUUUGGUUCUCUCUGUGCCUUUCAGUCCAGGCUGGCCAUGUUUCUGCUAAUAGACUUCUCUUAAAAACUUUGUGGCUCACUUGUGAAUUUUGAGUUCACUCCAUCAGACAAAAGCAACAACCACACAUCUCGUCCCACAUAAACUCUGCCUCAAGCUUUUGCUGAUGAAAAUACCCUUAAACUUUUUAAAAACCUGUGAUGUUAUUCAGAGAUUUUCUGAGACACAUCGUUUGUCUGAUGAAAAUACUCUGAGGCACAACUUAAGAUCUUUCUGAGCUAUUAAAGGACUUUAUAACUACAGCCUCAACUUUAUGUUUUACUGGCAGUGCCCUAGAUUUGCUUUUUGCUCAGAGAUAUUCCCCAAUUUUAGCACAUUUGUCAUCUGCACAGGCUGGGAAUCUUCAAAUCCAGCAAGUUUUGACUUGUUUUUGUUUGUUUGUUUGUAAUAGAGUCUGUUUUUUGCUGUGUUGGCCAGGUGAUCUUGGACUCCUGGCUUCAAGCAUUCCUCCCACCUCAGCCUCCCAAAGUUCUGGGAUUUUAGGUAUAAGCCACCAUGCCCAGCCAUGGCUCCUUUUUGUUUAACAGUCCUUACUUUGAUGGUCUCUCUUCUCACACAUUUUACUAUCAGCAACAAGAAAAAAUACACAUGAAAUAUUUAACACUUGGCCGGCAAUCUCCUUUGCUAGAUCAAUGAGUUAAUUAGGCAUUUUUUCUACUUUGUACAUAUCUGUGGAUAACAAAUUUGCUAAACUUUCUGCCAUUAUGUAACAAGGAUCUCCUUCCCUCUAGUUUCCAAGAAGAGUUUUCUAAUCUGUUAAGAUGUCACCUGCAGCCUCCUCAAAGGUUAUCUAUUAUGCUUCUAUAAAAAAUUUCUUCAAAGCUCUUCAAACUUUCAUUAACACUCUCCUCCAAGUUCUACCUUCUGUUCACUGCCAGUUUUAAAACCACACUUACAUUUUAGGUUUUUGCUAACACCCCACUUCUGAGUACCAAAAUGUAUACUGAUUUUCUAUUGCUGCAUAAUAAACUGCCCCAAAAUACAACAUGCAAAGCAAUAAAUAUUCAUUAUCUCAUGUAGUGUCUGAAGGUCAAAAAUCCGGAAGCAGCAUAGCUGAGUGGUUCUGAUUCAUUGUCUCUUGUGAAGUUAUCAGUCAAACCAUCAGCUGAGACUGUAAUCAUCUGAUGUUUUAACUAGUACCAGAGGAUACACUUUCACAUGCUAUUGGCAGGACACUUUAGUUCUUCACUAGCUGUUUAGCAGAAUACCGCACUUCCUCACCACAUGUACCUCUUCAUAGAGCUUCCUGGCUUCCUCUAAAACAAGUAAUCCAAGAGAGAAGCAGAAGCCACCAUGGUUUUUUAUGCCGUUGUUGACCUAGCCCCCAAAGUGACAUAUUAUUACACAGAUAUGUAGCCAACCUGUGGGUCACUGAUACGGUUUGGAUGUGUGUCCCCUCCAAAUCUCAUGUUGAAAUGUGAUUCUCAGUGUUGGAAGUGGGGCUGGUGAUAGGUGUUUGGUUCAUGAGGGUAGAUCCCUUAUGAAUGGCUUGGUGCUGUCUUUGUGGCAAUAAGUGAGUUCUCACUAUCUGAGUUCACACAAGAGCUGGUUGUUUAAAAGAGCCUGUCAUCUCUUUUGCUCCCUUUCUCACCAUGUGAUAUGCUGCUCCCCUUCUCUUCUGCCAUGAAGAAAAGCUUCCUGAGGCCUUCACCAGAAGCAGAUGCUGGUGCCGUGCUUCUACAGCCUGCAGAACUGAAGGACUUUACAGCUUCUCUUUCGCAUAUCCAAAUUGCCAGCAUCACCGCUCUUGCACUCCAAGCCAUUAUUAAGUAAAGUAAAGAACACAAACACUGUGAUACUGCUACACUUGAUCUGAUAACCAAGAAGUCUACUAAGUGACUAACAGCAGAGCAACUGGGAACCUAAUUCUGACCAAAAAGGAGGAAUUGUUUGGCUAAUUGGAAGUGACAGAAACCUUGGGAGAAAGCAACCGCAUACCAAGGAUAAUUAUAAGAAGAAGAGAAGACAUGGAGAAGAGGAGGGAGUAGUUGUGACCGUGGAGGCAGAGAAUGGAGUAAUGUGAUCAUAAAUCAAGGAAUGCUGACAGCCACUAAAGCUGGAGAAGGCCAAGGACAGAUAUUCAAUCCUCCCGUAGAAGUACAGCCCUGCUAAUGCAUUGAUUUUGGACUUCUGGCCUCAGAACUGUCUGGAAAGCAUGGAAAUUUGUAUCUUCAUUCACUUUUGUUUUCAUGGACUCUUUUCAUGUUUGAACUUUUCAUGAUCCAAUGUGAUAAUUUAUGUGAAAUCUUUCUGCAAACUAUACAGUAUGAUAAAAAUAUAAGGUAGUUUCACUGGAAACAACAGAAGACUAGAAGCUGAUGUGACGUGGCAAUAUCAACCAGGAAUACCCAUCUCGAGUUCUGGAUAUGUGCUCUGAGAAGGUGCCCAUGUCACCGACCACACUGGAGGCCAAUGCAGAUACUGGGGGAAGGUUCCAUGGUAGCUAAGUGUGGACAAGCUAAUCACUGAAGUUCCCUGAUGCAGAGUUGAUAAUCUCUCUAGAGUUGGAUGAAAGACUGUGCUGCCUUGAAGCUCUGAGAGAUGCCAUGCCAAUUCAAGGCAGGGUCUUUAUUGUUGAAACUCUUGCGUAAUGACAUCUUUAUUCAGGUGAAAAUACAGGAUGAAUUUCAACUAUAUGAUAUUGUUUAUGUUCCUCAGACAUGUUAUUUGUCUUUACAAAGAUUGGUUUCAAUAAACUGUGUGACUGAUAUUAAAUAAACAUGGAAUUUUACACAUUCAUAAUAUUUGGUUUCUUGUGAUUUUGAUGAACUAUACUUUCAAGCAUUGUCAGUUCAUCCUCAUUUACAAGGAAACAUUUGCUGUAGCAGAGUGAUGUAGUGACUUGCUUUACUUAAGAUAAGUCAACUUUUCUAUUCAAUGUUUAAUGUGAAACUGACUUAAAAAUUUUCUUUUAGGCCACAUUUACAUUUCUGUUUGUAUAACAUGCAUUAUACUAUUUUAACUUAAUACUAUGGCUAUAUAAACCAAAGACAUCCUAAUUCUGUUUUUAAUUUAUUGUUUUGCAAGAUAAAUAAUUUUUAAUGCACUAAUGAAGCUAAGGAGUUCAUAUUAAAAGACAUGUUAUAUGACCUACUGAAGUUGAGCUAUG